UACAGAGGUCUCAACCGUUGUUCGGAAUUACUGGGCGUAAAGCGCACGUAGGCGGAUCGAUCAGUCAGGGGUGAAAUCCCAGGGCUCAACCCUGGAACUGCCUUUGAUACUGUCGAUCUGGAGUAUGGAAGAGGUGAGUGGAAUUCCGAGUGUAGAGGUGAAAUUCGUAGAUAUUCGGAGGAACACCAGUGGCGAAGGCGGCUCACUGGUCCAUUACUGACGCUGAGGUGCGAAAGCGUGGGGAGCAAACAGG
rnacentral:rRNA from 1 species